CUCCCUUUCCUGUACUAUUAUCUGGGUCAGGUAAUUUAUCUCUCUUUCCUGUACUAUUAUCUGGGUCAGGUUAUUUAUCCCCCUUUCCUGUACUAUUAUCUGGGUCAGGUUAUUUAUCUCCCUUUCCUGUACUAUUAUCUGGGUCAGGUUAUUUAUCUCCCUUUCCUGUACUAUUAUCUGGGUCAGGUUAU